AUGGAUUUUGUGCUUGGAUUACCUAGGACUCAAAAUGGCAAGGAUUCUGUAUUUGUUGUUGUGGACCGAUUCUUUAAAAUGGCUCAUUUCAUCCCAUGCAAUAAGAUAGAUGAUGCUUCACAUGUUGCAAAUCUUUUUUGUAGGGAAAUCUUGAAGUUACAUGGAGUUCCAAAGACAAUUGUGUCAGACCGAGACGUCAAGUUCCUAAGCUACUUUUGGAAGACGCUAUGCGCCAAGAUCGGCAUUAAGCUACUAUUCUCCACCGCCUAUCACCCUCAAACCGAUGGCCAAACGGAAGUCACCAACCAGACGCUCUCCACUCUCCUAUGUGUGUUGAUCAAGAAGAACAUCAAGGAGUGGGAGGAGUGCUUACCGAUUGCCGAGUAUGCCUACAACCUCGCAAGACACUCUACUACCGGCAAUUCCCCCUUCAAGGUUGUCUACGGCUUCAACCCUUUGUCGCCCUUGGACAUCCUUCCUCUACCGCUCCAAGAACGAGCAAACAUGGAUGCUAGAGCAAGAGCCACCUACCUCAAGAAGAUGCAUGAAGAAACAAGGUCCAUGAUUGAGCGUCAAGUACACAGCCUCGCCACCAAGGUCAACAUCAGCAACUCACUAAUGGUGUUCAAACCGGGCGAUCUCGUAUGGGUACAUCUCCGCAAUGACCGCUUCCCCAAGGAGCACAAAUCCAAGCUACUUCCGAGAGCCGAUGGACCCUUCAAGGUGCUCGCACGCUACAAUUAA
rnacentral:rRNA from 1 species